UUCACAGCCGCCAGCCACCGAGCACCUUCGAUUACUGCCAUCGUGCCCUAGCUACCCACCGGCGUCGCACGGAGCAGCGUCGCCUCUCGCUGUGCCGCCUCUCCGCUGUUCUUGAUCAUUCCUUCUUUGUGGUGAAGUUAGGUCACAGUUGGGUGGGGAAAAGAUUUUCCGUAGGGUUUGCUUUACUGUGGAUUUAUUCUAAUUCCAGCAGCAACUAUCUCUUGGCGUUGGAUCAGUGAUUACAGCUGUGGAAUUUAAGGACUUUGACGCGAGACGAGUAUCUCGGAGUCAGAUUGGACCUUUCUAUUUUCGGAGG